UACAGAGGUCUCAAGCGUUGUUCGGAAUUACUGGGCGUAAAGGGUGCGCAGGCCGCGCGGGCAGUCAAAUGUGUAAUUCAGGGGCUCAACCCCUGCACUGCGCUUGAUACUUCCGCGCUCGAGCUUUGGAGAGGAGUCUGGAAUUCUCGGUGUAGCAGUGAAAUGCGUGGAUAUCAGGAGGAACACCGGUGGCGAAGGCGGAUCUCUGGGCCUUACCUGACGCUGAGGCGCGAAAGCUAGGGGAGCAAACAGG
rnacentral:rRNA from 1 species